GCAACGCGAAGAACCUUACCAGGUCUUGACAGUCCCCUGACAACCCGAGAGAUCGGGCGUUCCCCUUCGGGGGACAGGGUGACAGGUGUGGCAUGGUUGUCGUCAGCUCGUGUCGUGAGAUGUUGGGUUAAGUCCCGCAACGAGCGCAACCCUCGACCUUUAGUUGCCAGCAUUCAGUUGGGCACUCUAAGGUGACUGCCGGCUAAAAGUCGGAGGAAGGUGGGGAUGACGUCAAAUCAUCAUGCCCCUUAUGACCUGGGCUACACACGUGCUACAAUGGGCGGUACAAAGGGUCGCGAACCCGCGAGGGGGAGCCAAUCCCAAAAAGCCGCUCUCAGUUCGGAUUGCAGGCUGCAACUCGCCUGCAUGAAGCCGGAAUCGCUAGUAAUCGCGGAUCAGCAUGCCGCGGUGAAUACGUUCCCGGGCCUU
rnacentral:rRNA from 1 species